rnacentral:lncRNA from 1 species
CGCAGAGACCUACCCCACGGGUACAGCUUACAGCCCGCGCACCCCUUCCCCCCGUCCUCGUCCUGGUCGCCGCCAUCGUCGCCUCUUGAAUAAAUAAGUAAAUAAGAGCAAGAUGCUUCCACCUUUGGAUGACUUACCGCUCGGUCUUGACCCUCUCUCCGCCGAGGGCUUUAAUUUCGUUGUCAGAUAAGGCCCGCUUAAAAGGAGUGAUCGCCAAAGUCACUCAGGAUCUCGUUUAGGCAAUAAAUGAAUGAAGACCACGGAUUAAGAACUGUUGCUGAAUGUAUGGAAUAUUAAAAAGGAGAAAAGGAAGGUGCUAGUAACUCUUAGUUUUAUGGGCCAAACAUAAUUUAUGGGCUUCAUAGGUCUAGUGAAAGGGAACGGCGCACAGUUUAUUCUAAUAGUCCACCUGAGUCAUUUGGUUCCAUCUGAGUUGCCAAGGAGACUCUAAUUGGAGUAUUUUCUCCAGGUUUUUCGGUUUACCAUUUUUUUUUGGGGGGGGGGGUUGCUUUGUUUUUUAAAGUCCUAAUUUCCUUUGGGUUGCCGCUUCUUAAUGGCCAACCCUAGGACCUGGUUUGUGUGCUAAAUUGGCUGCCUGUGCUGUUAAUAAAUCAAGGGGAUUGUUAUCAACAAGGACAGAUAACAUCUUUACCUUCGUAUGCCAUACAACUGUUAUUUUAGUGUCUUUCUACAGGUCUACACUUUCCCUACACACCGAGGUACUUUUUUCUUUUUAGACACAUUGUGUUUAAUUUUCAGGGUCAUGGGUUCAAGGGAGAGAUAAACUUGUAUGUAUGUAUGCAUGUUACAAAUUUAAAAUAUGGUUACAUAACACUGAUACAGUGUCGAUCUCAAAAAGUUUAGGAGGAAAUAAAGAGCUACAGAACAUAAAUAAAACAGAAUCCUUACACUGGGGAAGAAUCUGUAGUAACUAAUAAUUGCAAGCUGAUGAAACUGCAACUAAGCAUUUUAUUCAGUAAAUUCAGGUAAAAUAAUGAAUUUGAAAAUUGACAAAUGUUUGAGUAGCUGGGAAAUGCAAAAUAAAAAUUAAAAGUCGUUGUUUUAUUUCAUCUAAGUAUAAAUAGGAUGAUUUCUUGGAUUAGCUGACAUCUCAUCCUCAGAUAUUGUUAAUUUUGAUAAAGACUAUUUGUGUAGUUGAAAAAUUUUUAAUUGUAUUCCCUUCUAUUAAAACAAGAGGGAAUUACCUCUUUGCCAUUGAGUCAGUUGUUAUUUCUGGAUAUGAUGUUUAAGAUGGUUUUAAUGACAGAGCUCUUCAUCAGAAACACUUUAAGUCAAUAUGGUGUGUGAAAUCCCUACAAUACAAGAAUCCUAAAGUUUUUCAGGAUAAAUGCUCAUCUUCAACCUAAACUUUUAAUCACAGUUGAGACCACACUGCUGGCAACAUGAUGUGAGACAGUGCCUUUCCAGAGGAGUAAUCCCUUUAAAGCCAACCAAUCAAGUGCACAGAUGUGCAGGCUUCCAGCAUUGCUAAACAGAAGCAAAGAGCUCACAUUGGUGUACCAGGAGUGAAGAGAAUGACUUGGAAGCCCAAACCCUCAUUAAGAACAUUGUAUGGAAACAAAAUUGUAAAGAAAAAUAUCAUAAACUGAUCACCAAAUCAAAAUAUUAAAUCUAACUUGUUUUAGAAGCAUCUUUAUACAUUUUGAUAACAGCUUUUGUAUUAGUGUUAGAAAAUUUGAAAGAAGGUUUCCUUAAAUGUCAAUCAUUACAGAAGCUGAACCAUCAAAAGUAUUUUUUGCCUCAGGAGGCUGAGGCAGGAGGAUUUCGAGUUCAAAGUCAGCCUCAGCAAAAGCAAAGCACUAAGCAACUGAGACCCUGGGUCUAAAUAAAAUACAAAAUAAGGAUGGGGUUGUGGCUCAGUGGUCAAGUGCUUCUGAUCAAGUUCCCACCUACCCACCCCCUGCCACAAAAUUAUUUUUU